rnacentral:rRNA from 1 species
AUGGAAUGGCCAGUUCCUAAGGAGAGCAAAAUCUGGUUGCGUGGGGUGUCCACGCUCCCUUCGAGACCAUAUCCACAUAAUGGCCUCAUUGUCAAACCAGCCGGUCUGAGGGCCUUGGUGGUUGAUGGAGAAUACAUAAAAGUGCCACGCCAGCCAAGUAGCAUCAUUGGAUGUCUUUGCAGGCAUUAUUACCCUGGCCUGGUCCCCAUAGGAGAUGGUGAGGAGGAGCCAGCUUGGUCUUGGGAGCAUUGGAAACGAGCUCCGGAUACCAAAGACAAGUGGGCCAGGGUGUAUGGUAGUGCCGCCGAGCGGGUGGUCAAUGAUUUUUGGGACUUCUUUACUUGUGCCGAGGGUAUGAAGGAUGAAGCUAAUGAGGUUGUGGAGGUGAUUGCCAAGAAGAUUGUCCAAGACAUGCCCUAUGAGGCGCGCGUUGAUGCUAUGGUGAAGUAUUUCGCGCACGAACGCAAAAUGCUUCUCAAAAAGUCUCUAGCCCGGAGAGUGCAUCUCACCCGUUCCAUGUACAUGAAGGCGGUUCCCUCGUGGUGCAACAACAAUGUUCCUUGCUACCAGCAAAUCAAAUCCAAAUGGAUAGACCCGGAGUGGAGGGCCCAACAUCGAAUGGCUUCCGAGCGGCGUGCCUUGAUGGGUGGUCCGGUACACCUUCAAGGCAACCUCAACCUCCACGCUUACGUGUAG